AAACAGCCCCCUAUGUUUUGAUUCUUUGGCAGUUUUGGACCCCCGAGGCAAAAAAAAAUAUUAAAUAUACACGUGGCACCUCACUUAGGGUGCCACGUCAGCGUUGACCGAGUUAGCAAUGGACUGGGGGUCCAAAACUGCCAAAGAAUCAAAACAUAGGGGGCUGUUU
rfam:Medicago truncatula strain A17 chromosome 4, whole genome shotgun sequence.